UAGAGUGCAUUUUCUCGAGCCUUCUACCCGAAGGCUUGCUCACAAUUAAAUACAGUGAGUGGGGGAAAGGCAGACAGGGCUGCGCCCCCGCUGCAUUUGCUGAGAAAAGUGUGCACGUGCUUGUGCCAAAGGACAACCUUGGCCAUCACGCUUCAGCAUGUACCACAUGCCUGGCUUUAGACAUGCUGGCUGGGCAUUGAACUCAAGUCCUCACGCUAUGGCUCAGCACCUCCGAGUUGUGGUUGUCUUCCAAGCUCCUAUUUGGGCUUCUCAGUGAUCUUUUAAGGUAAAUCUCUGUAGUCCUGGUUGGCCUUGAACUGGCCGUGUAGACCAGGCCCUCUAACUCGGAGGUCCACUUGCCUUUGUCUCCUGAGUUAGUCAAGCAAACGUUACCAUGUAAGAAUGUAGAGUCAUUAGGGAAAGGCGGGGCCUGAGACCUCAUGGUCUGUCAGUUGUUUGACAGGCCCGGAAAUUCACAUCUCCUCAUUCUGGACCACGGCCCAGUCUGACUUUUGCAGCUUCAGCAUGUCCCUGAUGUCCCCAGUUCUCUACUUCAGCACGCUGUUCCAGAAAGGACACUGCCUGCCUUACUGGACCUCUGCUGGUCCCCUCUCCUAAACACAUCCCAUCACCCUCCAUCAACCUUGUGCGUGUGUUGGAGUUGGAUGUGACUUCUGAGGCUGACAAGCUGCAGCUGUGACUUGGCCCAUGGCACGGAGAGAUGAUUUCAGAAUAGAAAAUGGACUGUAAGCCCUCGGGCCCGGUCCUGUGCCCUCAUCUGGUACUGAGCAGCCUCCAUGGGUUCUGUUUGUCCCACAAGACUAUUCUAAAGUUGGCCCAUCCCAGAUGCUAUGAAUAAAUGGGCUUAUUUUAUUGUC